rnacentral:rRNA from 1 species
GCAUAUCAAUAAGCGGAGGAAAAGAAACCAACAGGGAUUGCCUUAGUACGGCGAGUGAAGCGGCAAAAGCUCAAAUUUGAAAUCUGGUACCUCUGGUGCCCGAGUUGUAAUUUGUAGAAGGUAAUCUUGGGAGUGGGCCUUGUCUAUGUUCCUUGGAACAGGACGUCGAAGAGGGUGAGAAUCCCGUAAGGCGAGGAGACCACAUUCUUUGUAAGAUGCUUUCGAAGAGUCGAGUUGUUUGGGAAUGCAGCUCUAAGUGGGUGGUAAAUUCCAUCUAAAGCUAAAUAUUGGCGAGAGACCGAUAGCGAACAAGUACAGUGAUGGAAAGAUGAAAAGCACUUUGAAAAGAGAGUGAAACAGUACGUGAAAUUGUUGAAAGGGAAGGGCUUUAGAUCAGACUUGGUAUUUAGCUAUCAUUGCUCCUUGUGGGCGGUGCUCUAGCUUUUUACUGGGCCAGCAUCGGUUUAGGCGGUAGGAUAAUGGUGAAGGAACGUAGCUCUGCUUCGGUGGAGUGUUAUAGCCUGUUACUGAUACUACCUGCUUAGACCGAGGACUGCGUCUUUUGACUAGGAUGUUGGCGUAAUGAUCUAAAGCCACCCGUCUUGAAACACGGACC